UACGUAGGGGGCUAGCGUUGUCCGGAAUCAUUGGGCGUAAAGAGCGUGUAGGCGGCCCGGUAAGUCCGCUGUGAAAGUCGGGGGCUCAACCCUCGAAUGCCGGUGGAUACUGUCGGGCUAGAGUGCGGAAGAGGCGAGUGGAAUUCCUGGUGUAGCGGUGAAAUGCGCAGAUAUCAGGAGGAACACCAAUUGCGAAGGCAGCUCGCUGGGACGUAACUGACGCUGAGACG
rnacentral:rRNA from 1 species